ensembl:lncRNA
AUGAAAUGGUUAGACGGCAGCAGUCAUAUGACACAGAAAGAAAUGCAGAGCUUGUUAUCUCAGUAGGGAGAAAAACCUAUGGAAAUGAAUGAACCUCCCCGGCACCAGGAAAUGGACCAGGAGUGUGAGACACAAGACCGCGUGAUCUGGGGGUGACGCCCCGUAACCCAGCCUCCCUCCCUUCAACCGGAGCCCUAGGGAGGGACCUGUGCUCAGUGGAAUCCAAGAGCAAGGCGCUUUGCAAAUAGUUUUAGGGUGAGGAGUGCGGAAGAUGGACAGGUCUGUUAGGUGUCCAGCGCUUUACCUGGCUUGUUAAAAAGGACAGCACUUCGAGGCGCUGGCAGGACAAGGGAGGAAAAAAGGCAGCAUGGUUUAGUGAGCUUUAAUUUUUUUUUUUUUUCCCAUAACCAGAGUAGCUGUGCCAGGUAAUAUAUUUACUUUAGUGCAAAAGUUCUUCGGUGUGCACAACUCCACUGAGUUCAUUAUAUUUUUUAAUGUAUCUCAGACUAAUUUCAGAUUCUGAUUUCCCAGUAUAAACUAGAGUAACCAAUAUAUAAUUAUUCUCAUAAAUAACUCAGCACCUUAUAUUUCAAACAGGUUUCCCCACAAGGCACAAGUGCCCUAUAUUAAAUUCUUUUAAGUGUAAGUUGAUUAAGGUAAAAAUUAGUUGUUAUUACCUUAUGGACAUUUUAGUUUUAGCAGCAAUUCAAAGCCAGGUCUAUCACAAGUAGAUUUGUUGCCGCCCACAGGUAUAAUCAUCAGGAAAAUUAAUAAUCAUGUUCGGUGUGACUAUAAAUCAUUGUGGUUUAGGCAAUUAAUUUCUGUAGAAAAAUGAAAGAUCUGUAAGUAUUAUUACUGUGCAAACUGCAUGUUGUGAAAACCCAGAUCCAACACAGUCAAAUUGCAAAUGCGGGGUUUCUAAUUUCAGAGUGUGAUAAUAUGGGGUCAUCAGAGGCAGGGAAGCUGACGAUUCUGAAUAAAUAAUGUGGUAAUUUUGAGCGGUUU